AUGGGAUGCUCAAUCUAUAUUUACCACACAUAUAUGUUAGAAUUUAAUAUGACAGCACAUAGCUUCAACCAUAUUUACACUGCAGUUGUCGUAUAUAUAUGCAUGAAAAAUAAUUUUUACAAUAUGCAAUACAAGGAACUCAAUGGAUUAAAGAAAUUGCAUCGUCCUAAUCUAAGAAAAAUAAUGAGGUGCUCAAUCUUGAUUCACCACACAUAUAUGUUACAGCUUAAUAUUGCAGUAAAGCUUCAACCGUAUUUAUGCUAUAGUUGUUGUGUAUAUAAGCAUGAAAAUAAUUUUUGA
rnacentral:rRNA from 1 species